AUUGAACGCUGGCGGCAUGCCUUACACAUGCAAGUCGAACGGUAACGGGCCUUCGGGUGCCGACGAGUGGCGCACGGGUGAGUAAUACAUCGGAACGUGCCCGAUCGUGGGGGAUAACGAGGCGAAAGCUUUGCUAAUACCGCAUACGAUCUACGGAUGAAAGCAGGGGACCGCAAGGCCUUGCGCGGACGGAGCGGCCGAUGGCAGAUUAGGUAGUUGGUGGGAUAAAAGCUUACCAAGCCGACGAUCUGUAGCUGGUCUGAGAGGAUGAUCAGCCACACUGGGACUGAGACACGGCCCAGACUCCUACGGGAGGCAGCAGUGGGGAAUUUUGGACAAUGUGCGCAAGCCUGAUCCAGCCAUGCCGCGUGCAGGAUGAAGGCCUUCGGGUUGUAAACUGCUUUUGUACGGAACGAAAAGCCUUCUUUUAAUACAGGAGGGUCAUGACGGUACCGUAAGAAUAAGCACCGGCUAACUACGUG
rnacentral:rRNA from 1 species